CGAAUGCUGACAUAAGUAACGAUAAAGCGGGUGAAAAGCCCGCUCGCCGGAAGACCAAGGGUUCCUGUCCAACGUUAAUCGGGGCAGGGUGAGUCGACCCCUAAGGCGAGGCCGAAAGGCGUAGUCGAUGGGAAACAGGUUAAUAUUCCUGUACUUGGUGUUACUGCGAAGGGGGGACGGAGAAGGCUAUGUUGGCCGGGCGACGGUUGUCCCGGUUUAAGCGUGUAGGCUGGUUUUCCAGGCAAAUCCGGAAAAUCAAGGCUGAGGCGUGAUGACGAGGCACUACGGUGCUGAAGCAACAAAUGCCCUGCUUCCAGGAAAAGCCUCUAAGCAUCAGGUAACAUCAAAUCGUACCCCAAACCGACACAGGUGGUCAGGUAGAGAAUACCAAGGCGCUUGAGAGAACUCGGGUGAAGGAACUAGGCAAAAUGGUGCCGUAACUUCGGGAGAAGGCACGCUGAUAUGUAGGUGAAGUCCCUCGCGGAUGGAGCUGAAAUCAGUCGAAGAUACCAGCUGGCUGCAACUGUUUAUUAAAAACACAGCACUGUGCAAACACGAAAGUGGACGUAUACGGUGUGACGCCUGCCCGGUGCCGGAAGGUUAAUUGAUGGGGUUAGCGCAAGCGAAGCUCUUGAUCGAAGCCCCGGUAAACGGCGGCCGUAACUAUAACGGUCCUAAGGUAGCGAAAUUCCUUGUCGGGUAAGUUCCGACCUGCACGAAUGGCGUAAUGAUGGCCAGGCUGUCUCCACCCGAGACUCAGUGAAAUUGAACUCGCUGUGAAGAUGCAGUGUACCCGCGGCAAGACGGAAAGACCCCGUGAACCUUUACUAUAGCUUGACACUGAACAUUGAGCCUUGAUGUGUAGGAUAGGUGGGAGGCUUUGAAGUGUGGACGCCAGUCUGCAUGGAGCCGACCUUGAAAUACCACCCUUUAAUGUUUGAUGUUCUAACGUUGACCCGUGAUCCGGGUUGCGGACAGUGUCUGGUGGGUAGUUUGACUGGGGCGGUCUCCUCCUAAAGAGUAACGGAGGAGCACGAAGGUUGGCUAAUCCUGGUCGGACAUCAGGAGGUUAGUGCAAUGGCAUAAGCCAGCUUGACUGCGAGCGUGACGGCGCGAGCAGGUGCGAAAGCAGGUCAUAGUGAUCCGGUGGUUCUGAAUGGAAGGGCCAUCGCUCAACGGAUAAAAGGUACUCCGGGGAUAACAGGCUGAUACCGCCCAAGAGUUCAUAUCGACGGCGGUGUUUGGCACCUCGAUGUCGGCUCAUCACAUCCUGGGGCUGAAGUAGGUCCCAAGGGUAUGGCUGUUCGCCAUUUAAAGUGGUACGCGAGCUGGGUUUAGAACGUCGUGAGACAGUUCGGUCCCUAUCUGCCGUGGGCGCUGGAGAACUGAGGGGGGCUGCUCCUAGUACGAGAGGACCGGAGUGGACGCAUCACUGGUGUUCGGGUUGUCAUGCCAAUGGCACUGCCCGGUAGCUAAAUGCGGA
rnacentral:rRNA from 1 species